rnacentral:rRNA from 1 species
UGCGUAGGCGGGCUAAUAAGUCAGUGGUGAAAUCUCUCGGCCCAACCGGGAAACUGCCAUUGAUACUGUUAGUCUUGAGUUCGGUUGAGGUAGGCGGAAUGUGUAAUGUAGCGGUGAAAUGCUUAGAUAUUACACAGAACACCAAUUGCGUAGGCAGCUUACUAGACCGACACUGACGCUGAGGCACGAAAGCGUGGGGAGCAAACAGGAUUAGAUACCCUGGUAGUCC